UCAAGUUCUGAUACACAAACUACACUGCCAUAGGGCAUUAAAUAACACUACAUAUUGCCACUGCAGAUUUUCUCCCUCGGGUCUUCAUUACCGA